UCGAGCGGAAACGAUGGAGCUUGCUCCAGGCGUCGAGCGGCGGACGGGUGAGUAAUGCAUAGGAACCUGCCCGGUAGUGGGGGAUAACCUGGGGAAACCCAGGCUAAUACCGCAUACGUCCUACGGGAGAAAGCAGGGGAUCUUCGGACCUUGCGCUAUCGGAUGAGCCUAUGUCGGAUUAGCUUGUUGGUGAGGUAAUGGCUCACCAAGGCGACGAUCCGUAGCUGGUCUGAGAGGAUGAUCAGCCACAUCGGGACUGAGACACGGCCCGAACUCCUACGGGAGGCAGCAGUGGGGAAUAUUGGACAAUGGGCGAAAGCCUGAUCCAGCCAUGCCGCGUGUGUGAAGAAGGCUUUCGGGUUGUAAAGCACUUUCAGUGAGGAAGAACGCCUCGGGGCUAAUACCCCCGAGGAAAGACAUCACUCACAGAAGAAGCACCGGCUAACUCCGUGCCAGCAGCCGCGGUAAUACGGAGGGUGCAAGCGUUAAUCGGAAUUACUGGGCGUAAAGCGCGCGUAGGUGGCCUGAUAAGCCGGUUGUGAAAGCCCCGGGCUCAACCUGGGAACGGCAUCCGGAACUGUCAGGCUAGAGUGCAGGAGAGGAAGGUAGAAUUCCCGGUGUAGCGGUGAAAUGCGUAGAGAUCGGGAGGAAUACCAGUGGCGAAGGCGGCCUUCUGGACUGACACUGACACUGAGGUGCGAAAGCGUGGGUAGCAAACAGGAUUAGAUACCCUGGUAGUCCACGCCGUAAACGAUGUCGACUAGCCGUUGGGGUCC
rnacentral:rRNA from 1 species